UGUGUGUGUGUGUGUGUGUGUGUAUUUACAUACAGUGAUCUAUGUUUAUCUGCAUCUAUUUCCAUGUCAUCUGAUUAAACGAACAGUGUUUUCAUAUGAUUCAUCUGAACAGAUUGUUCAGAGACUGGCACAUGGUGGGAGGUUUAGCAAUGACCCGUGUAGUAAGUUUACUCAGGGUGAGAUGAUAAGAAGACAUUACAUCAACUGUAAAGAUACACAUAAAUCAUGAUUUUACGACUAUGAAAACAGGUGAGACUAUGAAAGGCAAAUGGAUAUAUUUGUACAACAGUGAAAGUCAAACUUAUGGCUCUGAAGGGCAAGGAGUAAGAAAACCUUUGGGACCCAGUCAGUAAAACUCUCUUACAGUAACUGCUCAACCUUGCUCCAGAUCCUCUCAUCCGUCUGUCUCUGAUGAGCUAAACGAAGUAAGGCAAGUGCUUCUCUGAAGGAAUCAAGUAUGUUAAGUAUCUAAAGUUCAGGUUGAAACAGGCUGAACACACAGAAGAUCACCUGAUCUGGUGGCAUGAAGAAGUUACACAGAUGUCCUGCCCCCUGAGCAGGGAAUACUGCCCACAUGAACAAUUUCCAUGUAAGACUGCAUCAUGUGCAGUCAACCAUUUAACAAACCAUCUAUGUGUAAAUAUAUUAUCUUCAAUCAUUUCUGGUGAACUGGGUAUGAGGCAGUUAUCAGGGCUAUGCACCUGAAGGAAAACUUACAAUUGACACCAGUUAUCAAAGUGUCAAUUGUAAGCCGCUCAUUAUUACUCAUGCCCUCCCACCCAAAGCUGUAUAGUGCAUAAAAACCUAUUGGGUAUGGAGUGGUCUGACGGCUACAGUGAAUGGAGAAGUGGAAGUGAUCUUCAUUGUGAUGGUGGUGUGCCUCAGGGAACAGUUUUGGUACCUUUCCUAUUUCCCGUUGGUUGGUAUUUUUAAUUUUUUAUGUGAAACCAAAAACUCAAACAAUGAAGUGCAUGUAAGGUCACAACAGAAAUGAUCUUGCCUUCAGCACAAUGCCAAGAAGACACUGUGAGAGGAAAGAGGCCGACAGAUGCGUAAAAUGUGAAGAAUUCAGGGGAGGAGCUGAAAGUGAUCGUUCAUUCUAGACACCUGGAUGUUUUACUUACCUCCAUGCCAAGGGAACUGGAUGGAAAGAAAAGUAGUUAAUUUUGUCACAUUUCCUUAAAGAAUAUUAUGUCAGUUGUAUGAUCAUAACAAUGUGUUAAAGCUGUUUAAAAAGUCUUAAUCUCAUCAGAUACAAUGAGGGGACUAAUCAUUUGUUCUCCUGUGGUUCAACUGGUUGAGUAAGGUGCUAACCACACCAAGGCCAUGGGUUCCUUAACCAGGGAGAACACUGUUGAAAAUGUACAUCUCCACUGUAUUAUAACCAGGGAGAACACUGUUGAAAAUGUACAUCUCCACUGUAUUAUAACCAGGGAGAACACUGUUGAAAAUGUACAUCUCCACUGUAUUAUAACCAGGGAGAACACUGUUGAAAAUGUAUAUCUCCACUGUAUUAUAAGUCGCACUGAAUAAAAGCAAAGAAACGUAAAUGCAAUCACACUCACCAACUGCAGCAAUGGGUGGACCAGUUCGGCCCUGUUCACAGACCAGUUUAGCCCAGUUUAGCCUAACAGACCAGUUUAGCCUUGUUCACAGACCAGUUUAGCCCAGUUUAGCCUAACAGACCAGUUUAGCCCUGUUCACAGACCAAUUAUGUACAUGGUUUAAAUGGAUCAAGACAGAAUGUAAGAAGAGUGUAAUAUAUGUGUUAUUUUAUAUAUGCAGAUACACUGUGUAAACCUCCCACUGCCACAAAUGAGCUUUGAUGGUUCAACUGGCAUAUUUACAGAAAUCCAUGUGUAUUGUUUUUAACAUUCUUAACCCAACAAAGUCAAAUCAAAGGCCUCUGAUGCUGUCAUUGUUACUCUAUGGAUGAGAAAUGAAUGUGUCCUAUUCUUGUGAUAUUCAGAGAUUAGCAUUUAAAUCAAUAAUAACAAUAUGAUAUUAAAUGGUGGUGUUUCAGUUGUUUGUUCAGAAAUGUAAUCAAUUACUCGUUAUAGCCUUAUAUAAUAGCCUUCUGUAUAUUUUCUUCAGUAACACUAUAACAUCAGUAAAGACUUUUUCAGAUCUCGAUAAACGUUACAAGCAUUUUCACGGGAGUCAGCAUUUUGUGUGUUCUGUGUGGUGUCAGAGGCAAAGGUUUAUUGGAGUAUAACACGUUUAAAGCAGGAGACACAUACUGUACAGGGGAAAAACCUGGAAAAAAACAACCAAAAUCCCCAAACUCAGAGCCAAGCUGGAAAAAAAGAUGAGCCAGAGAAGUACCCACGAAGAGAGGUUCGUCAUGGGCUAUGACACAUACCUCAGUGUAGCAGAUUUGACGUCGUUCAGCAAAAACCAUAGCCUUAUGCAAACAGUGAGAACGUGCAUGAUGUCAUCACACAAACAGCACUGGUUUUGCCUGGCUCCGAUCCGAUUCAGGACGGUGGAAUCAUCAUCAUCAGAGCCAAAGGAGUCACUCAGGUGCCAGGCAGACUGUGGUCAAAUCAAAA